UCAAUAAUGAAGAAUAAUUUCUAUAAUUUUUUCGAAGUUAAUUUAAUUAAAAUUAUUAAUGUUGUUACUGGAUAACCAGAUUGGGCUGAUUGUCCGUAAAACUCAGACCAUUUUCUCAAAAUAAUCCACUUUUAACGGUGUUGAGGACUGAAAUCACGUACAAGGAGGAUUUUCUUGAACAGCUGCCCUUUGGAAUUGCAUUAUUCAUUCCCCACACCUUCCCUUCUUUCUGUUUAACCCAAAAUAAUUAUUUGACCCCAUCAAAGUUGUAUUUUCUUUGUUAUUUUUUAGCAGUUAAAUGUGUUCGAGCUGAAUUAUCUCUUCAGACGUUCUACAAAUUGAAGUCAGACAAAUCAAACCAGAUUCGUUCUACUUAAGAAAGACAGGAUGAUUAUUAUUCAAUAACGUGGCAUUGUCUGGUCUUGUAGUAUGAUGACCUAUUUUCAAUUGGGCCGAAGGUGUACAGUAUUUAUGGGCCUAAACCGAUGUCUGAGGGCUCAAUAUUCAGCAGGAAAUAUUCUGUUACCCCUAUGCAGUGGUACAAUGCACCUCAAAUGCAUUAAUCAACGGAAAAGCUGCGAUUUUCUUACCACGAAGAUUUUAUUGUUCUUGAUUACUUCACUUCAAGACUAUCUCUGCCGUUUCCUCCUGCAGCCCUCAUUUUUCCAACCGCCACAUCAGUGGUAUUCGACCCCACAUUUCUUCUGAAGUGAAAUAAACAUAGUGGAGUAAAUAGCACAGAAGAAAGAAAUAAGUCGAGCCACAGACUUUAAUGCAUUAGAAACUAAUUUCCCGUCAUGACUAGGACAAUUGCACUCUAAUCGAUCGUUUUAUACAAUUAAUGAGGUCUUGUAGCUCGCGAAAACCAAUAGUAUUGCAGCUGACGGGGGUAAAAGUAUUGACUACCCUAGUGAGAUUUAAGAAGGUUUGAUCUGUGUAUCUAGGCUGGUGGAAUGAACCCAGAGAGAAGAUGAUAUUAACGUUAUGCUAAGGAUGAGAAAACAAAUUAAUGUAGAUGAAAGCGAGUAAUUGAAAAAACCUUAAUUAAAUUUAAAUGGGUCCAAUGAAUCCAUUCUAUUCGCAGGUAAAAAUUGCAAAGUGACCAGGGAAAUCAAGUUGAUGGACUACCACCCACUAAUGAAAAUAUCACGUGAUAUUCGGUGCUCGUGUUCUUGAGAAUUUGAACAGCUAAUUGAAUUAAGAGAUGUGAAGUAUCCAAACCUAUGCAUAACAUCAUCGAAACUGUUUAUAACUUAGAUUGUCAACGCUGUACAACAAUAAUGAAGGAAGUGACACCGAAAUCACAGAGAUUUAUAUGUAAACACGACACAAAGGAAAAUGAGUAAUGUCGACGAAGGAAAAAAGCCUCCGGCCACCAGUGACACUGCUUGACAGUGAAUGAGAAGCAUAAAAAAAAUAUGACGAGGUGCAUAAUGUUUUUUUUUACCAGAGAAAUGCUGAGAAUAUUUGGAAAGUUGAUAGCCACUGACUGCAAAUUAGCGCAAUCUCCAUUAUUUAAAUUCACUGAAUGUGAAAAAGGAUCAGGAUAAGUCGCACUCCAAGAUAUUGGCUGCCAAAGCCAGUUCUCUCCCUUCUAACUCUGUAUAACUAUUUUUUUCUUCUAUCUUUAUUUUACUUCCUCGGUCCAUAAUACUACUAUAUACGGCAAUUUCUUUUCUGCGUUGAAAAGACGGUGGAAUCGAGUACUUGUGGAGCGGGUGAGGAUGAAGGGGAGAGAAGAUCCAGCUAAUAAAAUUUAACCAUUGACGGUGAAGGGAGGAGGGACGAUGCCACUCAGGGCUCGCUUUUUUUCUCGUCUUUUCCCCUCGUCAGUCGCAUUUUCUGGAAAAAAAUUCCUCGAGCCUCGUGAGAGAUAUCUUAUGAUAAUACUGUCAGGGAUUAUCCCAUCCACGUGUAGCAUUUGAAAUUCUGAAAAGUUAAUGCCCUUCAAUUUCACUUCCCACAGGUCCUUUCAUGCCUAUACGAAAGUCAAGUGAUUUGCAGAAAUAUAGUAUUCUCGUUCGUCAGUGGGAACAAAUGUCUAAUAAUUCAUUAUGGGAACGAACCUGACUUCAUUCAAUCAGUCUUUGCAUUCAUUCAAACUGCUAUCAUAUUCAUGGAUGUCAGCUGUUGAGUCGUUAUGCGGAGAAACAAUGGAUAUAAAAAUUUUUUUUUCUAAAGAAACGAUUGUACCAUUGAGAUUAUUAUUACUGAGAUGACUGCAUUUCAGAGUAAAAUUUUGUCUCUCCAAUAUUGCGAUGAUUCAUUAUUCCCUCAAAGGAACCCCAAUUCAACAGAACAUGAUAAACGAUCUUUUACCUGAUUUUUCCAGAAAGGUGUCGCUUUUCAGCACUCACGAUCCAGACCUAUUCCCUUCAGAAAACUGCAGGUAACAAGAAUGGUUCCACAAAAAAAUCGCAAUUCCUCGUAAAUUCAAACGUAUUCUUCGCAAACUUAUUCCAAAGGCGAUUAAACUUUUGACCUUUCGCUCCUCCAUUAUUGAAUUCAACUCCUCACCGGCAAUGGGCUCUAAAGCUAGAUCAUCUAUCGAUUACAGCCGACAACUUCCGGCAGUAAUUUCUAUCCAGAGAACCACCGAUUUAUAAAUAAAUAGAAUAAAAAGGUUAAUCGCUCCACAGAUGAGAAAUUGUUGAUAAAAAUUAUCCUUCCACAUGGGGACGACAUUUUCCCCAUCAACGGAGGAAAAAAAUAGGAUUAAUUUUCCGCUGAUUAGUGGAAAAUCCUCACUCCUACGAAAACCGAGCCUGAGACAAAUUGUUUAUCACAGCCAACUGAUAGUUAAAGCCAAGUCUAUUUGACAGGCUUCACCCAAUAGUUUUUGAAUCUCGAAUAAAAUAUAUAUCAAUCCGAAAACCACUUGAAAAGAAAUCUGGUCUCUAUCAUCAAAUCAAAGCGAUGAAUUUUCAUCCCUUUCACAAUUUUAUUUCCCUUUUUCUCCCAAUCAACAUUCCCCCUUCCCCCCAACUAAGAACAUCGAGCAGUACCAUCAAGGAAUGGCAGCGUCACUCCGCUUGAUUUUAUUUAAACGUCUUAUUUACUCGAAAUACACGAGUACUGGAUAUUCGCCUAGUUCCAUCUCUACCUGUUACCAGUACACCCCCGACAGUUGAACGACGACCUUCUCUUUCAAUUCCUAUCGUUCCCUCACUUAGAAAAGUAGAUAGAGCCAGCAACUCUGACAAGCCAACUGAUUAGAGACUGUUUGUCCUGUCAAGGCUCCGAGUUUGUACGGUGAAAACGCCAUCCACAGCAAUCGAAAUUGAAGACGUAGAGGGCUCAGAAGAGGGGAAUUCGUGGGCUUGAGCAAAGGUGAAGAAGACAGGAAACAGGGAUAAACCUCCGUAUCUGAGCAGACACAAGUGAACAUCAUUUUUACAUACAAGUAGUCAAAGUAAAUAAACGAGGAGACAUCGUACAGAAUAAAAAAAAGGGGAGUUUAAACUAGACUGGAAUGUUUCUGGCCACAAUCUGCGGAAUCGCCGUAAAGUUUCAGACCGUUUUACAUACUCCAGUCACCCAAACAGCCACCGGAAUGUCUUGUGACGAACACGAGGGCUGAGAAAAUAGAAGGGGAACAAAUAAAUUUCCCAGUGAAAGGAGGAAAAAAAAAAUUCAACAUUGGUGGAGGGGUGAGGAGGGGAGGCGAAGUUCUCACCCGUUCCAACUGGUCGAGUGGAAUCUGGCGGUUAGCCAGGAAAUAGUGAAAUUGAUAAAAUUUGCCAAGUGGAAUUGUGACUCACACUAGCAGCCCAUCGUCGCUCGAUGGGAGUUCCGCUGGGUCAACAAACCAGGACUGGCCAAUUGGCAAAUUGUCACGACCGUUGCAACUUGGCGUUAUUGUAUCACAGUACUUGUUAUUAUUAUUUCAGGUUUUUUUUUGUAGUUUCUACGGGCUUAGUGAACUCGGUGGACUACUAAUGCUUAUUCCCCGGUGAGUUGGGAGUAUUAAUUUUUCAUUUCACUUUAUUUCUCCCCUCAUUCUCUUGAGUCAACAUCUUUCGAGUGUGCUUCGUCAGCACAUCCGCAAAUGCUCGGUCUUUUACUCUUUAUAUAGCGAAAAAUAUCUUGAGAGAAACACGAGUGAGUCACAGUGGAGUGGAGAAUCAAUUAUGCAGAAUUGUGGAGUGAAUCGAUGGUCUCAAUUAUUUUUUAUUACUAUUAUUAUUUAUUGUUAUUGAUAGAUGGACGUUUAUAUAUAGGUUUGGAAAAUGAAAAAGAUUAGGAGAGAUAUAUGUUUUGUAAAUCGGCUAAUCUUGUGUGUGAAGCUACAGAAAACAACACAUCAUUCUAUUUAUUCAUAUCCCCAUUUCAGAUUUACCAAAAAAAUUAUUUUUCCUUUGCGCUGGUUCUCAGUAUAUGUAUACUGUUCUCUGGAAAGUCGCCUCUGGCAUUUUGUAUCGCAACCACCACGACAGAAACCAACAUUUCAGUACUGAAUUUCGUGCAGAGUUCUACGAGUUGCUGUAAUAGUGGAAGAAAAUGCCAGUGAAAAAUAUGAUAUGUGGAUAAAGUAUAAAGGGAAAAAAACAUUUUAAUGAAGUGCGAGAAUGGAAGUCGGAUAGUCAGACUCAUUACCACUGUGAGGAAUUGUGGGUUUUAGAGGAGGCAAUAUACCGUCUAAUGGUGAUAAUUUCUUAUAUCUAUAUAUAAUUCAGAAAUGGGUUCUUGAAAUGCAGCUAAUAAAUACUACGAUAAUUGGGAAUGAAGAGAAUGAGAGAGAAAAUAUGAUUUCUCAUCAGAAUUACCAAACGAAAUAUCAAAAUGUUCGUUUGAUUCUCUGUUCAUGAAGUGCAUGAGGAGACAGCAUUACUUCCAUCUGGUGAAUAAUCUAUGACGACGACGAUCACAGGCUCCUAGUGAACAUUAAGUCGGUUCUCCCAACUAACGAAGCGCCAUGAUUAAAUAAUGCAUUGACCGGAGAAUCCUUUAACGAUGAAGAUAUAAAUGGAACACUGAAGCCACGAAGGAGACAGUGGAGAAAGUCAGUAUCGUCACACUGACUUGUCCAUUUUCGUCCACCACUUGGAAUUUCGUAUUGCAAGCUUCAAAAGCUUCAAAAGCCAUCAACCCUCCAUCUUGCAUUUUUCCAACUUCACCAGCAACGUUUGACCAAUUCAAUCGUUGGUUAUCGGCGACAAAUCAAAGUUACGAGAGGUCGCCACAUACGACCAUCGCGAUAUUCCUGGGAAAAGUGGAAGAGCGUCUGGAGGGAAUCGAUAUAUUUUUAAAAUCACAUUGGACAAUGGAUAAAAACGGAGCAGAAAGAGAAAUUCUGUAUGGGGGAAUGACAUAGAAAUCGUCCGGAUGAGAACCUGAAAGAACAAACUACGUCCGAAGAAAUCAGAAGGAUAAGCCUUGAGGCAAAAAGGAUAGUGGAUGGGGGAAAAAAGUCGGGCAGAGGAUGAGCCGUUUUUUCUACGUCCUAUCCACCCUCGGCUGUCGACCCACCCCGAUAACCAUGCAUGCCAACCUUCCAGCUAUUCCCGCCAACCUUCCAAUUACUCCGAGCUACCAAUUCAGUUCACUCAGAAAAUUAACGAUUAAUAUGAGACAUUUAACUCUGCUAUUAUCAUAACUUCAGAAUAAUUUACCGAUGUAGUCAUUAUUUUACGAUUGAGUAUACGAUUUAAUUUCAUAGUUGUUUUUUUUUUCAAUUUAAUUCCAGAUCUUUAUUCAGUCAAUUCUGUAAAUAAUUUGACCAAUUAACUACCGACAAGAUCGAAGAUUAUCACCCGAAUGCAAUAUUUUACUCUUAUCUCCAGUAAUUCAAGAACAACACAUCCAACAUAUUGAUUAACCUCAACACUUCGGAACACUUCGUAUACAUUUUCAAGGACCUCAAUUAAAUAACAUACUCUGCCACAAAACAAUCAUCACACAUACAAAUGAAAUGUUUGAAUGACUAUCGUCACCGAGUCCCUCUUCUCCUUCUCUCAUCGUUUUACCGAUAUUGCAUUACUGCGUUCAAUUCUUCGUUACCAUUGACAAUGAACACAAUGGGAUUUUCUGUCAUACCAAUGGCUGCUCUCAUGAGUGAGUACCCAGCAGAUCGUUAAUACAAUUUGAUCAUAAAAUGUCCUCGUUUAAUGUCCACAAUCGCUGUGAGCAUAACUCGUUGGGAUUCCAUAAUAUGCUGAAUAUAUCCAGUCAGUGAAUUGUAUAGAUUUACUAGCGGUUUGACUCACUCACUAUCCUCUCCCGUAUGAGACUAUUCUCUGUUCUACGUCUAUUGAUAGCGAAUAGCGAUCCAAGAAUACAAUUUACAAUUAUAAUCGCGUGAUUCAGGAAAGUUGAAAUAUUUCAAUUUGCCGUUUGGAAUUGAACUGCCGCGCUUGUUUUCAUGUUUUG